rnacentral:rRNA from 1 species
AUACGGAGGGUCCAAGCGUUAUCCGGAUUCAUUGGGUUUAAAGGGUCCGCAGGCGGGAAAAUAAGUCAGUGGUGAAAGCCUACAGCUCAACUGUAGAACUGCCAUUGAUACUGUUUUUCUUGAGUAUAGAUGAAGUGGGCGGAAUAUAUCAUGUAGCGGUGAAAUGCAUAGAUAUGAUAUAGAACACCGAUUGCGAAGGCAGCUCACUAAACUAUUACUGACGCUCAGGGACGAAGCGUGGGGAGCGAACAGGAUUAGAUACCCCAGUAGUCC